GAUGAACGCCGGCGGUGUGCCUAAUACAUGCAAGUCGUACGCACUGGCCCAACUGAUUGAUGGUGCUUGCACCUGAUUGACGUUGGAUCACCAGUGAGUGGCGGACGGGUGAGUAACACGUAGGUAACCUGCCCCGGAGCGGGGGAUAACAUUUGGAAACAGAUGCUAAUACCGCAUAACAACAAAAGCCACAUGGCUUUUGUUUGAAAGAUGGCUUUGGCUAUCACUCUGGGAUGGACCUGCGGUGCAUUAGCUAGUUGGUAAGGUAACGGCUUACCAAGGCGAUGAUGCAUAGCCGAGUUGAGAGACUGAUCGGCCACAAUGGAACUGAGACACGGUCCAUACUCCUACGGGAGGCAGCAGUAGGGAAUCUUCCACAAUGGGCGCAAGCCUGAUGGAGCAACACCGCGUGAGUGAAGAAGGGUUUCGGCUCGUAAAGCUCUGUUGUUGGAGAAGAACGUGCGUGAGAGUAACUGUUCACGCAGUGACGGUAUCCAACCAGAAAGUCACGGCUAACUACGUGCCAGCAGCCGCGGUAAUACGUAGGUGGCAAGCGUUAUCCGGAUUUAUUGGGCGUAAAGCGAGCGCAGGCGGUUGCUUAGGUCUGAUGUGAAAGCCUUCGGCUUAACCGAAGAAGUGCAUCGGAAACCGGGCGACUUGAGUGCAGAAGAGGACAGUGGAACUCCAUGUGUAGCGGUGGAAUGCGUAGAUAUAUGGAAGAACACCAGUGGCGAAGGCGGCUGUCUGGUCUGCAACUGACGCUGAGGCUCGAAAGCAUGGGUAGCGAACAGGAUUAGAUACCCUGGUAGUCCAUGCCGUAAACGAUGAGUGCUAGGUGUUGGAGGGUUUCCGCCCUUCAGUGCCGGAGCUAACGCAUUAAGCACUCCGCCUGGGGAGUACGACCGCAAGGUUGAAACUCAAAGGAAUUGACGGGGGCCCGCACAAGCGGUGGAGCAUGUGGUUUAAUUCGAAGCUACGCGAAGAACCUUACCAGGUCUUGACAUCUUGCGCUAACCUUAGAGAUAAGGCGUUCCCUUCGGGGACGCAAUGACAGGUGGUGCAUGGUCGUCGUCAGCUCGUGUCGUGAGAUGUUGGGUUAAGUCCCGCAACGAGCGCAACCCUUGUUACUAGUUGCCAGCAUUAAGUUGGGCACUCUAGUGAGACUGCCGGUGACAAACCGGAGGAAGGUGGGGACGACGUCAGAUCAUCAUGCCCCUUAUGACCUGGGCUACACACGUGCUACAAUGGACGGUACAACGAGUCGCAAGCUCGCGAGAGUAAGCUAAUCUCUUAAAGCCGUUCUCAGUUCGGACUGUAGGCUGCAACUCGCCUACACGAAGUCGGAAUCGCUAGUAAUCGCGGAU
rnacentral:rRNA from 1 species